rnacentral:tRNA from 1 species
UCCCUGAUAGCUCAUUUGGGAAAGAAUUCACCUGCAAUGUGAGAGACCCUGGUUCUAUUCCUGGUUUGGGAA